AAUCAACGCUGGCGGCGUGCCUCAGACAUGCAAGUCGAACGAUUAAAGCUCUCUUCGGAGAGUGCAUAGAGUGGCGCACGGGUGAGUAACACGUAAGUAAUCUACCCUCGAGUGGGGAAUAACGUCCGGAAACGGGCGCUAAUACCGCAUAAUGCAGCGGCAUCAUAAGAUGACAGUUGUUAAAGAUUUAUCGCUUGAGGAGGAGCUUGCGGCAGAUUAGCCAGUUGGUAAGGUAACGGCUUACCAAGGCGAAGAUCUGUAACCGGUCUUAGAGGGCGGUCGGUCACACUGACACUGAAUAACAGGUCAGACUCCUACGGGAGGCAGCAGUCGGGAAUUUUGGGCAAUGGGCGAAAGCCUGACCCAGCAACGCCGCGUGAAGGAUGAAGUAUUUCGGUAUGUAAACUCCGAAAGAAUAGGAAGAAUUAAUGACGGUACUAUUUAUAAGGUCCGGCUAACUACGUGCCAGCCGCCGCGGUAACAC
rnacentral:rRNA from 1 species